rnacentral:lncRNA from 1 species
UAAUACUAAACACGACAUAGGAAAUUAUGAUACAAUUACACUAUUAUAAUUCUUUAUAACUACUAAUGAAUAAAUAUAUUAAUUAUAAUGCAUAAUGGUUUUCAACCAAAUGAUUCGAGGAUUAAAUUGUAUAACUUGUGACAUGGGAAAAGUUGAGCCCACGAUCAAGGAGUUCCAAAACAAGCAAACUUGUAGCUCUGUCUUUUUCCCACAUAAAGCCAUAAUGGGUCAAGGGAAUUUGGAAGAGGUUACAAUCCAAAAUACGUUCUUAGAUCCUCUCAAUUUAUUGUUAAAGUCUCCAUUUGGCUAAUCCAAAUGAUUCAAUAAUAAAAUCAAUGUGAUUGUUACCAAAACUUUAGCAUAAGAAUUUCAGAGGAACGCGAACCCUCCACUCCUACCAAUCCAAUCAACACAAAAACAAGCUUCGAAUUGAAGAGCCACCCGUAUCUCCUCCAAUCAACGCAAAAUUGGGUUUAUUGGUUUCGACAAGUACUAAAAUUGUCCACAGGUUAUCCAAGCCGUGAUAGUUUCAUGCUAAACAAAAUCAUUGUUCCCCACAGGUCUUUAUUGGGAGACCAACUGAUAAAAAAAAAAAGCAAACUUAUCAUCCAUAUAAGAACCUGGUCCUACACCCUCAUCACUAGAAACAUGAGUAGUAGUAGCAACUUCAUUCUCAUCCCUCCACCUCUUCUUAAUCUCGUCUACAUCCAUGACUAUAUUUUCUUAGAACAAAUUGUAUUUUUUGAGCCUAGCCCAAUACAUUAAUUCAUAUGAUGCAUCUUAUUAUCAAUUUGGCUUAGAAUCAUACAUAUUGUCAACCACUUAUCCAUACAAGCUGAGAUUUAAAUUUUAACUUCUUAAGAUAACUAACAUAUAUUUUCUCCAACUCAUAGAAUUUUGAACUCCUUAAUAUUUCAAAAUAGAGUCUCUUUCCCACUAGAAUUCACUCUUAACGCCAUUGACCAAGACGAGAAUGUGAUUGUUUUCUAGCUUUCCCUGAAAUUCUUCAAGCCACUACUUUACAGAAAAAGUGAUCAAUAAUACCAAAAAUGUAAUACACCAAAGGGACUUGCUCGUAAUUGAAGGACACUUCGAAGAAAUCAUCUAAUUGUCUUUUUCCUCAAAAGGGAUUCUGAAUAUAUAGAAAAUCUUAUCCUCAUAAAAUUAUUAAAAAAAAUUAUUAUAAAAACUGAACGCGAUCGCUAAGAACACACAGAUUUUACGAGAAAAUCUUUCGGGAGAAAAACUCACGGACAGAGGAAUUUCGACUACAUUUAACCUUAUUCUAAUAAAUAUCAAAUAGAAAAGAAUAAUUCUAUACGGAUUCUAUUUGUGCAAUAAAUGUCAAAUAAAAAAACAAAUAAUUCUAUACAACCCCUAUUUUGUCACUGUAUUUUAUUUUUUAACAGGUUUUUGUUGCUAAUAUCAUAGUUUAGAAAUGUAUUCGUGACAUCACACAAACUUUUGAUCAAGAAUUUAGAAGCGAACCCCGAAAAAUAGAUCAUAUACCUGCGUUUCAUAUUCUCUAUGGAUAAUUGGUGAACAAGGAGGCAAUUAUGGACCCCUGUCAUCAUCUUCUUGAGAUCAAAUAAGUGGAAGAAUUGGAUUAGAUAAAGGCCAC